AAUCACUAAAGAAUUGGUAACAUGUACCAAAAAAUUGGUCAUAUUUACUAAAGAUUUCUCUCAGUGUAGCGACUGUGUGUGCAAUCGCCAUUCCUCUAGUGGAAGAGAAUCGAUUCGGAGUUUCUAACCGCAGAAAAUAAUAACGAAUGUUUUACGCAGGCGUAAAACGAGGAGCUGAUAAGUGAUAAGGAGCGAAAUGUUUUGACGUAGGACUACGUCUUUCAUUUCUAUACCGGGGUGUAAAAUCAAAGUUUCGAAAACGAAAGCGUUACGCCGGAGACCGAGAUUUUGAGCGUUAAUAGCUCCUAAACAACUGAACGAAAUGGUAUGAUAAACACUUCAUUCGAAAGAUAAACACCCUUAAGGCUGAUUUAGACGAUGCCAGUCAGCGCUCUAGUUGAGGUAUCCAGUGAACAGAGAACAGACACUCUGUCCAAGUUACUUGUACCAGUAUCGAACAAGUAAUUGGCCUCUAACUUGAACAGAGUGUCUGUUCUCUAUUCACUGGAUACUUCAACUGGAGCGCUGACUGGCAUUGUCUAAAUCAGCCUUUAUUCUCAUUUACGGCCGUAUCCGUAUAUUGAUUCGUCGGAUACGAUACGUCGUCAAGGAAAAAGCUAUCCUCAUUUACGGCCGUAUUUCUGUGUACUAGAUUUUAUUUUGGUUAUCGACGGCAGAUAUUUUUCUUGUUUACACUUCUGUUCUGUUUUGAUUUGAGAUUCGCAGUCUUCAAGUUUUCAAGUGAAUCAUAAGGUGUUUUGACGUAGGACUACGUCUUUCAUUUCUAUACCGGGGUGUAAAAUCAAAGUUUCGAAAACGAAAGCGUUACGCCGGAGACCGAGAUUUUGAGCGUUAAUAGCUCCUAAACAACUGAACGAAAUGUUCAAUCUAUUUUUGUGCGAGGCCUAACGUUCGCGGCGGCGCUAGCAACAGAUAAUCUUACGCUAGAGGAAUAAGAUCCGGCUAUUCCAAAUUGCGGAUUGCCGGCUAUCAUACUAUCGGACAUGCAACACGUGUGUAUCCGCCCCAUUCGACGACUAGUAAGCUAUUGGCAUUGAAAAAAUCCCUGCUAUGCAACCGCCGUCCGGUAGCAGUAGAUGACUCUAUGUGUAAAAAUUUGCAGCAAGGUUCCGUCGCAAUUACGAGUUCAGCAACCGGAACCAACAUGUUACUGUGAAAAACUUCAUAAGUGCAGAUGAACAACGACACCAAGAUACAGCAAACGAGGAAGAGCCAUAAUGGGUGUCGGCAGGACAUACCUCUCGCCUGGGCACAAUCGAACUUUGUGGAUUCGAUGAAGAUACUUCAAUCAAGGCGUCGCCAAUCGAUUAGUCGCCGAAUGCUCAUAAAAAAACAACGUUGAGAAUGCAACUGAUCCACCACAAAUGCAACAACAGCACAAAUCAACCCAACAGCCGCGUUAUCCAUCCCAACGUAAGCUUCAGUUCCAUACCCAAUCCAUAAUGUAGAACGCUUUACUCCGUAAAAAAACUGCAGAAUCAACGCAAAGCGCUUUGUGAUCAGAACAGUCGAAUUGCUGCCGCUACCGCUGUGAUUAACAACGGUGAACCAAAUACAGUUGUGCAGCAAUUUGUACAAUCGAUUCGUCUAAACAUGCAACGAAGUUUUUUGGUUCUUAGUCAAACUGCUAACCGGCCGGUGACAAAUAUCCUAAUGGUACAUAUUUCUCUGCAAAGCCGACUGCAGGAGCAACUACUCUCCGUCACGCAAAAAUUGUGUCAACAGAAACGUGGUCCCAUGAGCGCUAGAACUUCUUAGGAAACAUCGAAUUCUACAGAUCAAUUCUUACAUGUUACGAGAGAACUGGAUUCUUACAAUGCAGAAAUGGAUAAUUAUUAUUGUUAGACCUGUUGGAAUCGGAAUUGGUUUUCCAUUGCUCCAACUCAUCGAUUUGAGUCGUUCGCGCAAUGGUACAAACAUUAGGAGCGAGCAUGGCAUUUCUGCAGUCUCCCCGUGUAUUGCGGAAUAAAACAUCGAAUUUUCUUUUUUCCUCCCAAGGAUAAGACAUGCAGCGGAAGAUCCGGACCAUGUCCAAGUAAUAGUCCUGAAACUUCUCUCUAGGACCUUGUUUUCGAUUAUUGACUUGACGCUCGUGUACAUAAUCGAUAUCAAUUGAUGACUUCGCAAAGAUCUCUCAAGCUGAUAGCGAGGACCAUUUUGCUUCAAUUUUCGAACUUUCAGUUCGUGGUCUAGCUCAUCAACCGUCAAAUGGGCAGUGUUCAUCGCAUAGUACUGCGACAACAAAUGAGACAUCUCCAUUUUUAAAAUUACGGAAAUCAGAGAACUUCACACAAUUCAAUCACUUAAUACAACAGUUCGCAAAACAAUUUAAAACAGUUUUAAUAAAUAUGAUUGAAAAAUUCGAUAAAUAACAUACAACAAUUAUACACAACGAGAAAAAUAUUUAAAAAUUGUCAAUUGUUGAGAUAAAAAAAAAUAUGGUGGAUAGUUAAUGCUCACUUUUUGUUAAAUUAAUAAAUAAUAAUUAUGCGUAUUCUUUUCAGCU